UGCCAUUUGCAGCAACAUGGAUGCAACUAGAGAUUAUCAUAACUUUUGUUUUUUAAUUCAAUUUGAAGACUAUAAAGUACCCAUUAUGUAUCAGGUGCUGUGCCUGGUAAUGAGGAUACAAAAAUGACAGACAACCUUGAACUCAAGUCGCUCACAAUUUAUGAGGAAGGCAAUUAAGUUCAUAAUUCAUCGAGAAAUUAUAAAAGAAAGCAUGUCAACAGUGGGAUUAAAUGGUGUUCUUCUAUCUGUUUUCCAAGAGUUUUUUAGACUCUGUGGCUAAAGAACUCAUAAAUAAGAGAUGAAAAUGUUCACUUUAACCAUUUUUAUGUAUUGUGAUUAAAUGGGUAUAAACCUCUAGCCAUUAGAGGAAUGAGUGUGGGACUCUUCUUGACCUGAUAGAUGUUGUAUACCCAAGAGGCA